rnacentral:rRNA from 1 species
UGAGGAAUAUUGGUCAAUGGGCGUAAGCCUGAACCAGCCAAGUCGCGUGAGGGAAGACGGCCCUAUGGUUGUAAACCUCUUUUGUCGGGGAGCAAAGCCGCCCACGAGUGGGCGGAAGGAGAGUACCCGAAGAAAAGCAUCGGCUAACUCCGUGCCAGCAGCCGCGGUAAUACGGAGGAUGCGAGCGUUAAUCGGAAUUACUGGGCGUAAAGCGCACGUAGGCUGUUGUGUAAGUCAGGGGUGAAAUCCCACGGCUCAACCGUGGAACUGCCCUUGAUACUGCAUGACUGGAAUCCGGGAGAGGGUGGCGGAAUUCCAGGUGUAGGAGUGAAAUCCGUAGAUAUCUGGAGGAACAUCAGUGGCGAAGGCGGCCACCUGGACCGGUAUUGACGCUGAGGUGCGAAAGCGUGGGGGAGCAAACAGGAUUAGAUACC